rnacentral:sRNA from 1 species
UGUCCUCGGGGGAUGGAUUGGAAUCCGGG